UUCCUACGGGUGGCAGCAGUGGGGAAUAUUGGACAAUGGGGGCAACCCUGAUCCAGCCAUGCCGCGUGAGUGAUGAAGGCCUUCGGGUUGUAAAGCUCUUUUGGCGGGGACGAUGAUGACGGUACCCGCAGAAUAAGCCCCGGCUAACUUCGUGCCAGCAGCCGCGGUAAGACGAAGGGGGCAAGCGUUGUUCGGAAUUACUGGGCGUAAAGGGCGCGUAGGCGGCUUAUCAAGUCAGGCGUGAAAUUCCCGGGCUCAACCUGGGGGCUGCGCUUGAUACUGAUGAGCUUGAAUGCGGGAGAGGAUAGUGGAAUUCCCAGUGUAGAGGUGAAAUUCGUAGAUAUUGGGAAGAACACCGGUGGCGAAGGCGGCUAUCUGGCCCGUAAUUGACGCUGAGGCGCGAAAGCGUGGGGAGCAAACAGGAUUAGAUACCCCAGUAGUCUCA
rnacentral:rRNA from 1 species